GUUGAGUUAUCAUGCAUAUGAAUCUGAGGCGUGGAUGUAUUGAUGGUGCUCAUGUCCUCAUCAUCCUCCCCUUCUUGCAUUUGAGUCGUCCUCAACUCAAGCUUGUCCUCUUCUAUUGAUGGUACUUAUGUCCUCAUCAUCCUCCCCUUCUUGCAUUUGAGUCGUCCUCGACUCAAGCUUGUCCUCUUCUCCCAAGUAGGGCAUAAUGGUCCCCAAUCAACUUCAUUCACCAUCCAUACUUUCAAUAUGCAAUCAA
rnacentral:lncRNA from 1 species